AUUGAACGCUGGCGGCAGGCCUAAAACAUGCAAGUCGAGCGCAGCGUCGGACGGGUGAUUAUUGCCUAGUAAUCUCCCUGGUCGUGGCGGACACAUUCCGGAAGCGUGCGCUAAUGCAGCAUACGUUAAAAUCAGCCUAGGGCGGAUUAGGUAGUUGGGCGGGUAAAGGCUUACCAAGGGGACGAUCCGUCACUGGUCUGAGAGGAUGAUCAGUCACACUGGAACUGAGACACGGUCCAGACGCCUACGGGAGGCAGGAGUGGGGAAUAUUGGACAAUGGGCGAAAGCCUGAUCCAGCCAGGCCGCGUGAGUGAAGAAGGUCUUCGGAUUGUAAAACACUUUAAGUUGGGAGGCGGUACCAACAGAAUAAGCACCGGCUAACUUCGUGCCAGCAACCGCGGUAAUAC
rnacentral:rRNA from 1 species